AAAAUGGCCCUUUUCAGGGCCCCCAAAUUGUUUUUAAUUAAUAAAU
rnacentral:ncRNA from 1 species